CGGCUGGCCUGGCGCUCCCCCUGCCUUUCCCCGGGACGCGCGGCUGCUCCUGCUCCUGCCGCCGCUACCGCCGCUGUCGCCGCCGCCGCCGUCGUCGCCGAGCUCGGCGCCCGCAGCCUCCGCCUCCCGGAUGGACGUUCUGCCCCGCGGCGGGCUGAACUUGAAGGAGGAGCCGCUGCUGCCCACCGGCCUGGGCUCGGUGCGCUCCUGGAUGCAGGGCGCGGGCAUCCUGGACGCCAGCACCGCCGCGCAGAGUGGUGUGGGCCUGGCACGAGCACAUUUUGAGAAGCAGCCCCCUUCCAACCUCAGGAAAUCCAACUUCUUCCACUUCGUGCUGGCCAUGUAUGACCGCCAGGGGCAGCCUGUGGAGGUGGAGCGCACAGCCUUCAUUGACUUCGUGGAAAAGGACAGAGAGCAUGGGGCCGAAAAGACCAACAACGGGAUCCAUUACCGCCUCUGGCUGGUGUAUAAUAACGGACUUAGGACCGAACAGGACCUCUACGUGCGCCUCAUCGACUCCAUGUCUAAGCAGGCCAUCAUCUAUGAGGGGCAGGACAAGAACCCGGAAAUGUGCCGAGUGCUGCUCACCCACGAGAUCAUGUGCAGCCGGUGCUGUGACCGGAAGAGCUGUGGCAACCGGAACGAGACGCCCUCAGACCCGGUCAUUAUUGACAGAACUCCCAGACCCUUGAGCCCACCGACACACUGUUGCAGGUUCUUCCUCAAGUUCUUCCUCAAAUGCAACCAGAACUGCCUAAAGAAUGCGGGGAAUCCCCGGGACAUGCGCCGCUUCCAGGUGGUGGUGUCCACGACGGUGAGCGUGGAUGGACACGUGCUGGCCGUGUCCGACAACAUGUUUGUGCACAACAACUCCAAGCAUGGCCGCAGGGCACGCCGCCUGGACCCCUCCGAAGCUGCCACUCCCUGCAUCAAAGCCAUCAGCCCCGGGGAGGGCUGGACCACGGGCGGCGCCACCGUCAUUGUCAUCGGUGACAAUUUCUUCGACGGGCUACAGGUCGUGUUCGGGAACGUGCUCGUGUGGAGCGAGCUCAUCACGCCGCACGCCAUCCGGGUGCAGACGCCCCCGCGGCACAUCCCCGGGGUGGUGGAGGUGACCCUUUCCUACAAGUCCAAGCAGUUUUGCAAGGGAGCCCCGGGCCGCUUUGUCUACACAGCCCUGAACGAGCCCACCAUUGACUACGGAUUCCAGAGGCUACAGAAAGUCAUUCCCAGACACCCGGGAGACCCGGAGAGGCUGCCCAAGGAAGUGCUGCUGAAGCGGGCGGCCGACUUGGCGGAGGCCCUGUACGGAGUGCCCAGCAGCAACCAGGAGCUCCUCCUGAAGCGAGCGGCGGACGUGGCGGAGGCUCUGUACAGUGCCCCGCGCGCGCCCGCGCCGCUCGGACCCCUGGCCCCCAGCCACCCGCACCCUGCCGUUGUGGGCAUCAACGCCUUCAGCAGCCCGCUGGCCAUCGCCGUCGGGGACGCCACGCCUGGGCCCGAGCCGGGCUACGCCCGCAGCUGCAGCAGCGCGUCGCCCCGCGGGUUCGCGCCCAGCCCUGGCUCGCAGCAGAGCGGCUACAGCGGCGGCCUCGGCGCGGGCCUCGGCGGCUACGGGGCGCCGGGCGUGGCCGGCCUCGGCGUGCCGGGGUCCCCUAGCUUCCUCAAUGGCUCCACGGCCACCUCGCCCUUCGCUAAGGAGCGCCUUUGCCCCCGUGCUGCGCCCACCUGGCUCCCCGCCCCAGGGCUGCCCCAGAGCCCACGGAGAGGGGCUUCCAGACCCGCCUUUUGAGGAUUCUGACAAGUUCCACUCCCCAGCCCGGGGCCUUCAGAGCCUGGCAUACUCCUAAUUACGGUCUGCAGGCGCUGCCCACACUGAGCCUGUACUGGAGGUCUCUCCAGGAUUCACACCCAUGUCCUGGAUGGAGCAUGGGCAGAUGCAGGGCCAGGGCUGCAGGAAGACCUCAGUCCAGGGACCCAGACUGGGAGAGACCUUCCUCCCUGUGCUCAAGGCCCAGCCAGCCCCACAGGCUUCUCUCUCCUCCCUUCCGUGGGCUGUUCGGAAGCCCAGCACUGUGCUGGUACUCUUGGCAGGAGAGCAUCCCCGGGGAGGUGCUGGGGUGCCAGGCCUCACUCGCUGUGCCGGUUCCCCUGGAAGAGAUGUAUCUUGUGCAGACCAGGGACUUUGGGUGAGGGAAGCUUGGGAUGAGGACUGUGGGAAAGAGGGCGGCUCAGGGAGAGGUGGCCGGGAAGGUCCUGUUUGCAUCUGACCCAUCUCAACAGGCCCAGCAUCCCAACUUCUCUCCAGGGCAUGGGGUGGCGCCCAGGCUCCCAUGGAGCUUCCAAAGGCCAUGUGACCCCGUGGCUGCCCCACUCCUUUUGAGAUCUGCACACUCAUGCUUGCCACAUCAUGACUCCUGAUAGGGGCUUUGGGCAUGGUGGGUGCAGAAGAAGGGAGGCCUAGAAUUUGGGGCCUUCCCCUCCAGUGGAUGUCUUGUGGACUCUGGCUGAUUCAAUCUGAUUGGCCCCACAUAUAGGGGCCAGCUGCCCUCCAGUGGCCUCAUACUCUGCUCUGCUCUGCUGAGUUUGGAGAAAAGAGAACAAUAAACAGA